AUUGUCCCUGCGAGAGUCCUCCAGGACCGUUGGGCGCGGUUGGCACCUCGGCCCUCGAGACGGCGGGAACCGGGACUCGGGCUCUGAACCCGAGUGGUGACCGAGGAGGCGGGCCCGGCUCUCCCGGUUGCACGCGGCUGGGUGGACGCCCGCGCGGGGCUCAAGCACGCGGGUUCCCGACUCCGACCCGCGGGGGGUCGGUACUGAAGGAUUUAUUUCAUAGGUUUGGAUGAGAGACCUCAUGUGGGCUUCAGGUCCUCAUCUUCAUGAGAAUUGGGACUGGACCCCCAGCAGCGAGGAGCCUUGAAGGCUGGAGAGAAAGAGUUUCCAUCAUGGAUCUCUCCUGAGGGAAUAGUCCAGAUUUCCUGAGUCGUUUCCAGGUCGAGGUCCUGUAUGCCUCUUCUGUUCUCAGGACCAGUUCCUGUCAGAGUGGGAAGACCUGAUCUUGGAUAUUUGGUUUUGCUCCUUUGUGAAAAGCUGUAAAGACAAUUUUCCACCCCUAGCUGUAAAGAACUCUUGGUGGGAAAUUAUAAUUCCUUUAG
rnacentral:lncRNA from 1 species